AUGAGCACCACACGAGACAACUAAGCAGUGCUUAUCAGUGAUAUUUGUAUCAUGAAUGUCACUUCUUUCCCCUUCCCUUUCUCAGCCAACUGAGAGAGAGAGAGAGAGAGAGAGAGAGAGAGAGAACUCACUGUCUGCCAAGAAGCCUUUCUCAUCAGUCUAGAUUCACUGCAGAUUCCUACCCAGCCCGUCUCCCUCCCUGAUCUGUGGUUCCAAGUCCUGCUGGAUGCUCCUGACAUACCAAACCUGUCUGGCAUGGCAGGAGGCCGAGACAGGCUGGAAAGCUGCUCUUCUGAAGGUGCCACUCGGAGAUCCCACUCAUACAUCAUCCUUCAAGCAGGAACAGCUCCCACAGCUACAAGAGAGAGACAUCUGUCCCUCUCCUUCCCACCGUCACCCAGAAUGAGCCUAAUUAGACUGUAUCUUCUUUCAGCUGCUACUGUGAUCAGCGCCACGGAAGUAUUGAAACAGGCUGGCUCCAAGCACAGAUGCCCAAAAUGCCACGUAUUCCCCAACUCCAGGGCUCGGGUGCUUUGGCCAGUGCCGAGAGCCUGGAGUCACACUGCAGAGACCUGUAGAGGGCAGAGGGAGAUGAGAUGUUUCUGGAAGGAAGUAAACAUUUUCUUAAAAAGGGGCUAAGAGCCAAGCUAA